rnacentral:rRNA from 1 species
GACAGAGGGUGCAAACGUUGUUCGGAAUUACUGGGCGUAAAGCGAGUGUAGGCGGUUUGGUAAGUCGGAUGUGAAAGCCCCGGGCUCAACCCGGGAAGUGCACUCGAUACUGCCAAGCUAGAGUGUCGGAGAGGUUGGUGGAAUUCUCGGUGUAGAGGUGAAAUUCGUAGAUAUCGAGAGGAACACCUGCGGCGAAGGCGGGUUGCUGGGCUGAUACUGACGCUGAGGCGCGAAAGCUAGGGGAGCGAACGGG